AUUGAACGCUGGCGGCAGGCCUAACACAUGCAAGUCGAACGAGUGGCGGACGGGUGAGUAAUGUCUGGGAAACUGCCCGAUGGAGGGGGAUAACUACUGGAAACGGUAGCUAAUACCGCAUACCAUCGGAUGUGCCCAGAUGGGAUUAGGUAGUAGGUGGGGUAACGGCUCACCUAGGAGACGAUCCCUAGCUGGUCUGAGAGGAUGACCAGCCACACUGGAACUGAUACACAGCCCAGACUCCUACGGGAGGCAGAAGAGGGGAAUAUUGAACAAUGGGCGGAAGCCUGAUGCAGCAAUGCCGCUUGUAUGAAGAAGGCCUUCGGGUUGUAAAGUACUUUCAGCUGGGAGGCGUUACUCGCAGAAGAAGCAUCGGCUAACUCCGUGCCAGCCGCCGCGGUAAUAC
rnacentral:rRNA from 1 species